UUUCACUCUCCAUCAGUAAACACCCAUAUCUAUGAUAAAUCUCACUUAUAUGUUCCCGGAUCCACAAUUCAAAGUCAACUGAACGAAGCUGCAGGUGCUACACAUGAAUGAGAAAGCUGAGCCUGAUGAUUUGAUCUCGAAGGGUUCAGGUCAUGAUGUCAAGGCCCUGGGAUCGAGUCCUGUCUUGGCUCUAAGAACCAGAAGAUUCUCAAGGUAAAGUGCCAGGAAAGUCC
rnacentral:lncRNA from 1 species